ACCGAUAUUAAUGACUUUUUUUCCUUAGAUGGACCUUGAUGUAUGUUAUGAUCUACUGUCUAAUUUAUUAUUCCAUUGUUGACUAGAUAACAUGACAGUCAAUUUUUAAAACCUUGUAAAUGUCAAUUUGUCCAUACCACAAUAUUGUCUUAAUUAAACAAGGACUAUUGUUUUCUCUUCAGUAUUUAUUAAUAUUAUUCCCUUAGUGAUGUUUUAGUAGUCAUGGAUUUAUAGGACUAAUGGACAAAACAAUAUUCAGAGCCUAUAAUUUCAAAUAUUUUACAAUAUAAGCUGUUAAUGUACCUGAGAAGUGGUUUUAACAUCAUGCUUUUAUUCAAGCAAUAUUUAUUGAGCGCUUACUAUGUGAAAGCCACUGUGCCAAGCAUUAAGUGUACUAGAGCCAUUAAUUAAAUGUAUGUGAUGCUAUGUGUGAUGUUCAAGUUAAUGUAAAUAUAUGAGUAAUAUACAGUCACCAAUUAUAAAUAAUUUACUCAAUUAUGAGCAUAUGUAAAGCUUUUUAAUAAAUUUAGAUAUUUGAAUACC
rnacentral:lncRNA from 10 species